AGGGUAGCAAUACCUGAGUAAAGUGGCGCACGGGUGAGUAACACGUGAAUUAUCUACCUCCGAGUGGGGAAUAACUGAGAGAAAUCUUAGCUAAUACCGCAUAACACUUACGAGUCAAAGCAGCAAUGCGCUUGGAGAGGAGUUCGCGGCCGAUUAGUUAGUUGGCGGGGUAAUGGCCCACCAAGACGAUGAUCGGUAUCCGGCCUGAGAGGGCGCACGGACACACUGGAACUGAAACACGGUCCAGACUCCUACGGGGGGCAGCAGUGGGGAAUUUUGCGCAAUGGGGGAAACCCUGACGCAGCAACGCCGCGUGGAGGAUGAAAUAUCUUGGUAUGUAAACUCCUUUCGAUGGGGAAGAUUAUGACGGUACCCAUAGAAGAAGCCCCGGCUAACUUCGUGCCAGCAGCCGCGGUAAUACGAGGGGGGCAAGCGUUGUUCGGAUUUAUUGGGCGUAAAGGGUGCGUAGGCGGUUUGGCAAGUCUGAUGUGAAAUCUAUGGGCUCAACCCAUAGUCUGCAUCAGAAACUGCCGGGCUUGAGUAUGGGAGAGGUGAGUGGAAUUUCCGGUGUAGCGGUGAAAUGCGUAGAUAUCGGAAGGAACACCUGUGGCGAAAGCGGCUCACUGGACCAUAACUGACGCUGAUGCACGAAAGCUAGGGGAGCAAACAGGAUUAGAUACCCUGGUAGUCCUAGCCCUAAACGAUGAUUGGCUUGAUGUGGCAGGUACCCAAUCCUGCCGUGUCGAAGCUAACGCGAU
rnacentral:rRNA from 1 species